rnacentral:rRNA from 1 species
GACGAACGCUGGCGGCGUGCUUAACACAUGCCAGUCGAGCGGUAAGGCUCCUUCGGGAGUACACGAGCGGCGAACGGGUGAGUAACACGUGAGUAAUCUGCCCUUCACUUCGGGAUAACCACCGGAAACGGUGGCUAAUACCGAAUACGACCAGUCUUCGCAUGAGGUGCUGGUGGAAAGUCUUUUCGGUGAAGGAUGUGCUCGCGGCCUAUCAGCUUGUUGGUGGGGUAAUGGCCUACCAAGGCUUCGACGGGUAGCCGGCCUGAGAGGGUGACCGGCCACACUGGGACUGAGACACGGCCCAGACUCCGACGGGAGGCAGCAGUGGGGAAUAUUGGACAAUGGGCGAAAGCCUGAUCCAGCAACGCCGCGUGAGGGAUGACGGCCUUCGGGUUGUAAACCUCUUUCAGUACCGACGAAGCGCCCUGUCGGGUGGUGACGGUAGGUACAGAAGAAGGACCGGCCAACUACGUG